GGUCGCGUGGCCGAGUGGUUAGGCGCCGGUCUGCAAAACCGUGCACGGCGGUUCGAAUCCGUUCGCGACCU
rnacentral:tRNA from 1 species